GGAGAAGAGACUUAGCUCAGUGGGAGUGCAUCUGCUUUGCAUGCAGAAAGUUCCAGGUUCGAUCCCAGGCAUCUCCA